UUAAUAGAUCAGAAAACAUUUGGACAUACAGUACGAGUGACAGGAGAAAACUUGAGUGCAAAGUGGACGUAAGGUAUUCUGCGACAGAGACAUCGCUCACCUUUAAUAGGUGGUACUUCAUAGGGACGGAAAAGGUUCAUGAUUUCUUAGAAGGACAGUUUUUUCCAACGCAAAUGGACCGCAUGGCUCUUCGUCAUGAAGGUGGCAGUUUCGUGGAGUCGGAGUAUAUGCUGUAUUACCACAAAAAUGGUGGCUGCGCCGUUAUUAGAGUGAAGACACAAAACAAAGAUGGACGUCCCAUUUACGACCUUCGAGUUAAGGAUUCCUACAUACGCCAAGGACCUAGUGCCAAAUGCGUUGUCGAAUUCGUAAAAUAUAGGAUCCAAGAACAGACUAUUUAUCAGAGGGAAUGCAAGGGCAGAUUUGCUGACAAUGGAAAGUGAUUCCCUGUAUGACUGAGGAAGAAGCCGUGAAUAUAAAUAUUUAACAAAGUGUGAUUGAUUU